rnacentral:tRNA from 2 species
GGGCCCGUAGCUUAGUUUGGCAGAGCACUUGACUUUUAAUCAAGGGGUCGGGGGUUCAAAUCCCCUCGGGCUCA